GCCAUAUCAUAUUGAAACACCAGUUCCUAUACAAUCACCAAAGUUAAGCAAAGUUAAGCCUAGUCAAUACCUAGAUGGGUGAAUGCUUGGGAAUACCACGUGUUGUAA